rnacentral:rRNA from 1 species
CCUACGGGUUGCAAACGUCUUUGAUAAAGGAAGAAAGUGAGGCACGUGGGCCGUGUGGUAGGGACUGUAUGAAGAAGGAUAGGCUAACUCCGUGCCAGCAGCCGCGGUAAUACGGAGGAUCCGAGCGUUAUCCGGAUGUAUUGGGUUUAAAGGGAGCGGAGAUGGGUUGUUAAGUCAGUUGUGAAAGUUUGCGGCUCAACCGUAAAAUUGCAAUUGAUACUGGCAGUCUUGAGUACAGUUGAGGUAGGCGGAAUUCGUGGUGUAGCGGUGAACUGCUGAGAUAUCACGAAGAACUCCGAUUGCGAAGGCAGCUUACUAAACUGCCCCUGACAUUGAUGCUCGAAAGUGUGGGUAUCAAACAGGAUUAGAUACCCUGGUAGUC